GACGAACGCUGGCGGCGUGCUUAACACAUGCAAGUCGAACGGUAAGGCUCCAGCUUGCUGGGGUACACGAGUGGCGAACGGGUGAGUAACACGUGGGUGACCUGCCCUGCACUUCGGGAUAAGCCUGGGAAACUGGGUCUAAUACCGGAUAGGACCGCACCGUGAGGGUGUGGUGGAAAGUUUUUUCGGUGUGGGAUGGGCCCGCGGCCUAUCAGCUUGUUGGUGGGGUAAUGGCCUACCAAGGCGGCGACGGGUAGCCGGCCUGAGAGGGUGGACGGCCACAUUGGGACUGAGACACGGCCCAGACUCCUACGGGAGGCAGCAGUGGGGAAUAUUGCACAAUGGGCGGAAGCCUGAUGCAGCGACGCCGCGUGGGGGAUGACGGCCUUCGGGUUGUAAACUCCUUUCACCAUCGACGAAGGGUUUCUGACGGUAGAUGGAGAAGAAGCACCGGCUAACUACGUGCCAGCAGCCGCGGUAAUACGUAGGGUGCGAGCGUUGUCCGGAAUUACUGGGCGUAAGGAGCUCGUAGGUGGUUUGUCGCGUCGUCUGUGAAAUUCCGGGGCUUAACUCCGGGCGUGCAGGCGAUACGGGCAUAACUUGAGUACUGUAGGGGAGACUGGAAUUCCUGGUGUAGCGGUGAAAUGCGCAGAUAUCAGGAGGAACACCGGUGGCGAAGGCGGGUCUCUGGGCAGUAACUGACGCUGAGGAGCGAAAGCAUGGGGAGCGAACAGGAUUAGACACCCUGGUAGUCCAUGCCGUAAACGGUGGGCGCUAGGUGUGGGUUUCCUUCCACGGGAUCCGUGCCGUAGCUAACGCAUUAAGCGCCCCGCCUGGGGAGUACGGCCGCAAGGCUAAAACUCAAAGGAAUUGACGGGGGCCCGCACAAGCGGCGGAGCAUGUGGAUUAAUUCGAUGCAACGCGAAGAACCUUACCUGGGCUUGACAUAUACAGGAUCGCGCCAGAGAUGGUGUUUCCCUUGUGGCUUGUAUACAGGUGGUGCAUGGUUGUCGUCAGCUCGUGUCGUGAGAUGUUGGGUUAAGUCCCGCAACGAGCGCAACCCUUGUCUUAUGUUGCCAGCACGUUGUGGUGGGGACUCGUAAGAAACUGCCGGGGUUAACUCGGAGGAAGGUGGGGAUGACGUUCAAAUCAUCAUGCCCCUUAUGUCCAGGGCUUCACACAUGCUACAAUGGUCGGUACAGUGGGUUGCCAGUCCGUGAGGGCGAGCUAAUCCCGCAAAGCCGGUCUCAGUUCGGAUCGGGGUCUGCAACUCGACCCCGUGAAGUCGGAGUCGCUAGUAAUCGCAGAUCAGCAACGCUGCGGUGAAUACGUUCCCGGGCCU
rnacentral:rRNA from 1 species